rnacentral:rRNA from 2 species
CGGUAUUUAACCAGAAAGCCACGGCUAACUACGUGCCAGCAGCCGCGGUAAUACGUAGGUGGCAAGCGUUGUCCGGAUUUAUUGGGCGUAAAGCGAGCGCAGGCGGUUUUUUAAGUCUGAUGUGAAAGCCUUCGGCUCAACCGAAGAAGUGCAUCGGAAACUGGGAAACUUGAGUGCAGAAGAGGACAGUGGAACUCCAUGUGUAGCGGUGAAAUGCGUAGAUAUAUGGAAGAACACCAGUGGCGAAGGCGGCUGUCUGGUCUGUAACUGACGCUGAGGCUCGAAAGUAUGGGUAGCAAACAGGAUUAGAUACCCUGGUAGUCCAUACCGUAAACGAUGAAUGCUAAGUGUUGGAGGGUUUCCGCCCUUCAGUGCUGCAGCUAACGCAUUAAGCAUUCCGCCUGGGGAGUACGGCCGCAAGGCUGAAACUCAAAGGAAUUGACGGGGGCCCGCACAAGCGGUGGAGCAUGUGGUUUAAUUCGAAGCUACGCGAAGAACCUUACCAGGUCUUGACAUACUAUGCAAAUCUAAGAGAUUAGACGUUCCCUUCGGGGACAUGGAUACAGGUGGUGCAUGGUUGUCGUCAGCUCGUGUCGUGAGAUGUUGGGUUAAGUCCCGCAACGAGCGCAACCCUUAUUAUCAGUUGCCAGCAUUAAGUUGGGCACUCUGGUGAGACUGCCGGUGACAAACCGGAGGAAGGUGGGGAUGACGUCAAAUCAUCAUGCCCCUUAUGACCUGGGCUACACACGUGCUACAAUGGAUGGUACAACGAGUUGCGAACUCGCGAGAGUAAGCUAAUCUCUUAAAGCCAUUCUCAGUUCGGAUUGUAGGCUGCAACUCGCCUACAUGAAGUCGGAAUCGCUAGUAAUCGCGGAUCAGCAUGCCGCGGUGAAUACGUUCCCGGGCCUUGUACACACCGCCCGUCACACCAUGAGAGUUUGUAACACCCAAAGUCGGUGGGGUA